rnacentral:rRNA from 1 species
GACGAACGCUGGCGGCGGGCUUAACACAUGCAAGUCGAACGGAAAGGCCCUGCUUUUGUGGGGUGCUCGAGUGGCGAACGGGUGAGUAACACGUGAGUAACCUGCCCUUGACUUUGGGAUAACUUCAGGAAACUGGGGCUAAUACCGGAUAGGAGCUCCUGCUGCAGGGUGGGGGUUGGAAAUUUUCGGCGGUUGGGGAUGGACUGGCGGCUUAUCAGCUUGUUGGUGGGGGAGUGGCUUACCAAGGCUUUGACGGGUAGCCGGCCUGAGAGGGUGACCGGCCACAUUGGGACUGAGAUACGGCCCAGACUCCUACGGGAGGCAGCAGUGGGGAAUAUUGCACAAUGGGCGGAAGCCUGAUGCAGCAACGCCGCGUGCGGGAUGGCGGCCUUCGGGUUGUAAACCGCUUUCGCCUGUGACGAAGCGUGAGUGACGGUAAUGGGUAAAGAAGCACCGGCUAACUACGUG